UACGUAGGGGGCUAGCGUUGUCCGGAAUCAUUGGGCGUAAAGCGCGCGUAGGCGGCCCGGUAAGUCCGCUGUAAAAGUCCAGGGCUCAACCCUGGAACGCCGGUGGAUACUGUCGGGCUAGAGUCCGGAAGAGGCGAGUGGAAUUCCUGGUGUAGCGGUGGAAUGCGCAGAUAUCAGGAGGAACACCGAUGCGAAGGCAGCUCGCUGGGACGGUACUGGACGCUGAGGCGCGAAAGC
rnacentral:rRNA from 1 species